rnacentral:lncRNA from 1 species
CUUAUAAGUAGUGAUCUAGCGUACAGCUUUUACAGCCUACCGAAACGUUACAUAAAUACAUUGGUAUUAAAAAGCAUGAAACUCAAACCCUUUGACGGCAUGUUUAGUGGACUUAAAGGGUGCAAGAUUCAUAAAAUUUCCAUGACCAACAAUGAUAUUGAAACAUUCAAUGGAACAUGGUUUGCACAAUUAAAAGAGUUGUUCAGACUAGACCUAAACUGGAAUAGAAUAUCAAGCCAAAACUUGAAUCUAAAAGGACUCUCUAGCUUAACUUGGUUACAUCUGGGCGACAACCCGUUAACUAAAAUCCCUGCGUUUUGUGAUGACGGGCUUUUUCAGUUAAAG